GGGCCCGCACAAGCGGUGGAGCAUGUGGUUUAAUUCGAUGAUACGCGAGGAACCUUACCAGGGCUUAAAUGUAGUGGGACAGGUCUAGAGAUAGACCCUUCUUCGGACUCAUUACAAGGUGCUGCAUGGUUGUCGUCAGCUCGUGCCGUGAGGUGUCAGGUUAAGUCCUAUAACGAGCGCAACCCCUAUCGUUAGUUGCCAGCGAGUAAUGUCGGGAACUCUAUGGAAACUGCCCGUGAUAAGCGGGAGGAAGGUGUGGAUGACGUCAAGUCCUCAUGGCCCUUACAGGCUGGGCUACACACGUGCUACAAUGGCGAUGACAGUGGGCAGCGACCCCGCAAGGGUGAGCU
rnacentral:rRNA from 1 species